rnacentral:rRNA from 1 species
CCCUUAGAUGUUCUGGGCCGCACGCGCGCUACACUGAUGCAUUCAACGAGCCUAUCCCUGACCGACAGGUCCGGGUAAUCUUUGAAUCUGCAUCGUGACGGGGAUAGAUUAUUGCAAUUAUUAAUCUUCAACGAGGAAUGCCUAGUAGGCACAAGUCAUCAGCUUGUGUUGAUUACGUCCCUGCCCUUUGUACACACCGCCCGUCGCUCCUACCGAUUGAAUGUUCCGGUGAGCUCUUCGGACUGCGCGGUCUGCAGUUUCUGCGUUCCGUGCGGAAAGUUGCGCAAACCUUAACAUUUAGAGGAAGGAGAAGUCGUAACA